rnacentral:lncRNA from 1 species
CACGCGACGGUUCUUCCCCUCCUCCUCCACCACGCGACGGUUCUUCCCCUCCACCGCCUCCUAGUGGACCCCCUUCAACAUAGAGGCCUUCUCCUCCGAACCCAAACCAAGUGUAGACGAACGAAAAGCCGAUUCCACGCAGGACUAGAAGACUGCUGUUUAUCAAAUGACAACGAAUUUAGAAUUUUGCCAUUAACGGCAACGAAUGGCAACCAAUCUUAAAUAUUAGUUUCCUUAUGAUGAUCUAGGCCUUUCAUGUAGAUUUGUUUUUCUUCUAUACGAUCAUGAAAUGAUAAGAGAUAAAAGAUUUGGUAAAACUAAACGGAUUUAAUGAAAAUCAAGUGCAAAGUUACAUCACUUAUUUCAUAAUUCUUUGAUCGGGUGAUAGAGUAACCGGCUACGUGUAUUCACUUUGAUGCAGAAAUGAAAAAGAAAGUAGCCUACUUACAGGAUUUUAUUUAAUCCAUUGACUCCUGAACUUUCUUGAUCCUCAAGAACUAACUUUCACUGGUCACCAAUGGUUUGAUAGUCGUUUUGAAUUGUGUAAUUUAGUUUAUUUGCUUCAUACAGCAACGAAAACUCCUUUGCGAAUUCAUUAUACCAGGUGACAUCUUGGAUGAUUCGAUAAUCAUUAUUACAUAUUCAUGAAAUAUUAUUUUCUUUGAAGGAUAUCAUCUUUCUCUUUCAAAAAGGAGUAAGGAUACCAUUACUUGCAGACGUGAUUAGUAUAUAAAUUGUCAUGAAAUUAAAAUCUUUGCAAAAUAUAAAA